rnacentral:rRNA from 1 species
ACGAACGCUGGCGGCGUGCCUAAUACAUGCAAGUCGAGCGGACCAAUUAGAAAGCUUGCUUUUUAAUUGGUUAGCGGCGGACGGGUGAGUAACACGUGGGUAACCUGCCCUAUAGACCGGGAUAACUCGCGGAAACGCGUGCUAAUACCGGAUAACACACCGAAGCGCAUGCUUCGGGGUUGAAAGAUGGUUCUGCUAUCACUAUAGGAUGGGCCCGCGGCGCAUUAGCUAGUUGGUGGGGUAACGGCCUACCAAGGCGACGAUGCGUAGCCGACCUGAGAGGGUGAUCGGCCACACUGGGACUGAGACACGGCCCAGACUCCUACGGGAGGCAGCAGUAGGGAAUCUUCCACAAUGGGCGAAAGCCUGAUGGAGCAACGCCGCGUGAGCGAAGAAGGUCUUCGGAUCGUAAAGCUCUGUUGUAAGGGAAGAACAAGCGCAGCAGUCACUGGCUGCGCCCUGACGGUACCUUACUAGAAAGCCACGGCUAACUACGUGCCAGCAGCCGCGGUAAUAUCUUUCUA